UAUUAGUGUAUACAACAUUGUUUUGGGUUGUAUUGAUGAACAUAUCGUUGUAUAGUGUUCGCAAGGUGUAUAUAUCAUAGUAUAGUGUUGACAAGGUGUAUAUAUCAUAGUAUAGUGUUGAAAGGUGUAGAUAUCAUAGUAUAGUGUUGAAAGGUGUAUAUAUCAUUGUAUAGUAUUGUAAAGGUGUAUAUAGCUGUGUACUGCGUUGGUAUUGUACACAGCAUUGUUUUGUGAAGUAUUGAUGAACAUAUCGUUGUAUAGUGUUGACAAUGUGUAUAUAUCAUAGCAUAGUGUUGGCAAGGUGUAUAUAUCAUAGUGUAGUGUUGAAAGGUGUAUAUGUCAUUGCUUAGUAUUGUAAAGGUGUAUAUAGCUGUGUACUGCGUUGUUAGUGUAUACAACAUUGUUUUGGGUUGUAUUGAUGAACAUAUCGUUGUAUAGUGUUGACAAGGUGUAUAUAUCAUAGUAUAGUGUUGAAAGG